rnacentral:rRNA from 1 species
CCUUACACAUGCAAGUCGAACGGCAGCACGGGGGCAACCCUGGUGGCGAGUGGCGAACGGGUGAGUAAUACAUCGGAACGUGUCCUGUAGUGGGGGAUAGCCCGGCGAAAGCCGGAUUAAUACCGCAUACGAUCUACGGAAGAAAGCGGGGGAUCUUCGGACCUCGCGCUGUAGGGGCGGCCGAUGGCAGAUUAGCUAGUUGGUGGGGUAAAGGCCUACCAAGGCGACGAUCUGUAGCUGGUCUGAGAGGACGACCAGCCACACUGGGACUGAGACACGGCCCAGACUCCUACGGGAGGCAGCAGUGGGGAAUUUUGGACAAUGGGGGCAACCCUGAUCCAGCAAUGCCGCGUGUGUGAAGAAGGCCUUCGGGUUGUAAAGCACUUUUGUCCGGAAAGAAAACUUCGUCCCUAAUAUGGAUGGAGGAUGACGGUACCGGAAGAAUAAGCACCGGCUAACUACGUGCCAGCAGCCGCGGUAAUACGUAUGGUGCGAGCGUUAAUCGGAAUUACUGGUCGUAAAGCGUGCGCAGGCGG